AGUAGAGUGAGCCACCACAGUUUAUAUUUAGAUCUGAAAACCAUAAAACUACUAAACCCAAAAACAACUAUAAAUCUCACAGAUCAAACAUCCCCAGCAAUAAAAUCAUGAAAUAUAUUUUAACACCAUCAACAAGAACAAAAAUCUCAAUAGCAUUAUGAUUUUUUCUCUCAUAAACUAAAUGUGUCUUCUCCCUCUUUCAUUUUGUUGAACACCCAUGACAAAUCAGAUGGUGGUUCAAGCACACGUGGGAAGAGGAUAUAUGAUUCUGAAUUCAUCGAAUCCUUAUGUGGAAAAUCAGAAGGCAAAGAAAUGGAUAGACACCUGGGAAGACGAUAUAUGAUUCUAUGUUUAUUAAUUUCUUCUGUUGAAAUGAAAAAUUGAAGUAAAAAUGGGGGCAACGAGUAGAUUUUUAUUACCUUAAUUUAUUUUUGUUGCAAAUCUCUAGUUUUUACAUUUGAAAAUCAAGUUUUUAGUUUUGUGGGUUGUGUUGUUAAUGGUCUGACUCUGAUCUCCCUCCCAAGCUGUUGUGCGUCAGCCCCAUAGUCUUAUUUCAAUUGUGAGAACCUUACUGUAUUUUGAGGUA